rnacentral:rRNA from 1 species
AGUGAACGCUGGCGGUAGGCCUAACACAUGCAAGUCGAACGGCAGCACAGGAGAGCUUGCUCUCUGGGUGGCGAGUGGCGGACGGGUGAGGAAUACAUCGGAAUCUACUCUGUCGUGGGGGAUAACGAAGGGAAACUUACGCUAAUACCGCAUACGACCUACGGGUGAAAGCAGGGGAUCUUCGGACCUCGCGCGAUUGAAUGAGCCGAUGUGGGAUUAGCUAGUUGGCGGGGUAAAGGCCCACCAAGGCGACGAUCCGUAGCUGGUCUGAGAGGAUGAUCAGCCACACUGGAACUGAGACACGGUCCAGACUCCUACGGGAGGCAGCAGUGGGGAAUAUUGGACAAUGGGCGCAAGCCUGAUCCAGCCAUACCGCGUGGGUGAAGAAGGCCUUCGGGUUGUAAAGCCCUUUCGUUGGGAAAGAAAUCCAGCUGGCUAAUACCCGGUUGGGAUGACGGUACCCAAAGAAUAAGCACCGGCUAACUUCGUGCCAGCAGCCGCAGUAA